UACGUAGGGUGCAAGCGUUGUCCGGAAUUAUUGGGCGUAAAGAGCUCGUAGGCGGUUCGUCACGUCGGCUGUGAAAUCCCGAGGCUCAACCUCGGGUCUGCAGUCGAUACGGGCGGACUUGAGUACUGCAGGGGAGACUGGAAUUCCUGGUGUAGCGGUGAAAUGCGCAGAUAUCAGGAGGAACACCGGUGGCGAAGGCAGGUCUCUGGGCAUUAACUGACGCUGAGGAGCGAAAGCAUGGGGAGCGAACAGG
rnacentral:rRNA from 1 species